rnacentral:rRNA from 1 species
GACGAACGCUGGCGGCGUGCUUAACACAUGCAAGUCGAACGGAAAGGCCCUGCUUUUGUGGGGUGCUCGAGCGGCGAAAGGGUGAGUAACACGUGAGUAACCUGCCCUUGACUUUGGGAUAACUUCAGGAAACUGGGGCUAAUACCGGAUAGGAGCUCCUGCUGCAUGGUGGGGGUUGGAAAGUUUCGGCGGUUGGGGAUGGACUCGCGGCUUAUCAGCUUGUUGGUGGGGUAGUGGCUUACCAAGGCUUUGACGGGUAGCCGGCCUGAGAGGGUGACCGGCCACAUUGGGACUGAGAUACGGCCCAGACUCCUACGGGAGGCAGCAGUGGGGAAUAUUGCACAAUGGGCGGAAGCCUGAUGCAGCAACGCCGCGUGCGGGAUGACGGCCUUCGGGUUGUAAACCGCUUUCGCCUGUGACGAAGCGUGAGUGACGGUAAUGGGUAAAGAAGCACCGGCUAACUACGUG